AUUCUUUAAAAAAUCUUACAAAAGUGUCUUUUUUUUUUUUUUGUUUUUGUUUAAUUGUUCGUUCUACUAUAUCUCUCCCUCUUUCUAUAUAUAUGAAUAUAUAAAUACACAACAUUUUUUGUUCUUUCGUAGUUUUUUAUUUUUUUUUUUUUUACUUUUGUCUUUCGUUUCCCGCUUAUCCUUUUUUUAUUUUUUUUUUUUUUUCCCAUUUUUAAUAAACCUGUUUUAACAAUGUAUUUCCAUAAAAUUUUGUUUCCUUUGUUUUUGUUUAAUUUUUUUUUAAACAAGUGUGCACCAAUUAUUUAUAGUAACAACUUUAACAAAUGGACCAAAGAGCUUUCAAAAAUAUCAAAAAAAGAGUACCAUAAUUUAAGUGAUAUAAAUGAUUUAACUAAUAGAAAAUAUUGUGGUAGUUCUUUAAAACAUUUAGCAGGACUAAUUUUGGAUAAAUCGGAUAAAGAAGCAAAAUUAAUUAUUGAAGGAUCUAUUUUUUUUAAUAAAUUAACAUUAAGUUAGGUAAUACAAAAGAAAAAGAAAUAGAUAUAAAAAAUAUUAUUUUACCAAUAGAAACUUUAUCAAAUAAAUGUAUAAACAUCAGACAAACUGAACAAAAUGAAGAAUCAACUAUUCUUUGUUUAAGCAGUAAAGUACUUCGAAAUUUUUGGAUUAAUUCGAUAACUGAUGCUGUUCUAUGUAAAAUGACAAAAAUUAAAGGGAAAUUACCCGAGUUUGAUUAUUUGAAUGAAGACGAUGAAAAAAAAAAACAAACAACAGGAUGAAGGUGAAGAUGACGAAAAAAAUGACGAACAAACCAAAACAGAAGAAGACAAAAUUAAAUCUAGAUUUAAUAAUGAAGAAUUUGAUGACGAAAAAGAAGAAGGAAAGAAAGGUGUACAACUUCGAAUACCAAAAAGUAAAUAUGGUCAACCAGACAUAAAAAUAAAUGGGAAGACUAUUAAAGAAAUUAAAGAAGGCAACAAAAAUGAAGAAAGCGCAAAUAAAGGAAGCGCAAAUGAAGGAAGCGCAAAUGAAGGAAGCGAAAAUGGAAAGAGCAAAAAUGAGAAAAGUGAAAGUGAGAAAAGUGAAAGCGACAGGCCUGAGGAAUAUGAAAAUGCAUCAGAUCAAAUAGAUGGUGAUGAUGAAACCAUUGAAUCAUAAGAGAAAAAAUUAGGGGAUUAAAAUUAGUUACAAGGCGAAAAAAUCCCCUUUUUGUAAUUCAUUCCUCUUUUUUAUUCAUUAAACAAUGAUAAUUUUUUUGUGUCAAUUUUCAUAUGUGUUGUUUUUAUGGGAAGACACGUACACAUGUAUACAUAUGUAUAUGUAUACAUAUUUAAUUAUUUUUAUAAGUGCUUACAAUUGUAAAUUUUUUUUUUUUUUGUUUUUUUUUUUUUUUUUUGUCACCCCUCCCCCCUAAUUUCCUUAUGUAAAGCACAUAAGGAAUACCCGCAUAAACUACAUACUUCAUAAAUGAAGAGAGUAAUAAAAUUCUUUUAUCUUAUCA
rnacentral:lncRNA from 1 species